ACAAACUUGGUCAUUUAGAGGAAGUAAAAGUCGUAACAAGGUUUCCGUAGGUGAACCUGCGGAAGGAUCAUUAACGUAUCUACGACGGGGACGGCGCCUCGCUCCGGUUCCAAACGGGCCGUGCAGCGGGCGCCCAACCGCUCGACCUUCACAAACCCCACCGUGAACCUUUGCGGGCGGAAGGGGGCGCGAGCCCUCGGAAGCCUGCGUAACAAACCCCAAUCUUAACUAGAACGACGAGCGACCUAGUCGCCCUAACACGAAACAACUUUCAACAACGGAUCUCUUGGCUCUCGCAUCGAUGAAGAACGCAGC
rnacentral:misc_RNA from 1 species